rnacentral:rRNA from 1 species
AGUGAACGCUGGCGGUAGGCCUAACACAUGCAAGUCGAACGGCAGCACAGGAGAGCUUGCUCUCUGGGUGGCGAGUGGCGGACGGGUGAGGAAUACAUCGGAAUCUGCCCAGUCGUGGGGGAUAACGUAGGGAAACUUACGCUAAUACCGCAUACGACCUUCGGGUGAAAGAGGGGGAUCGCAAGACCUCUCGCGAUUGGAUGAGCCGAUGUCGGAUUAGCUAGUUGGCGGGGUAAUGGCCCACCAAGGCGACGAUCCGUAGCUGGUCUGAGAGGAUGAUCAGCCACACUGGAACUGAGACACGGUCCAGACUCCUACGGGAGGCAGCAGUGGGGAAUAUUGGACAAUGGGCGCAAGCCUGAUCCGGCCAUACCGCGUGGGUGAAGAAGGCCUUCGGGUUGUAAAGCCCUUUUGUUGGGAAAGAAAUCUUUCAGGCUAAUACCCUGGGAGGAUGACGGUACCCAAAGAAUAAGCACCGGCUAACUUCGUG